rnacentral:rRNA from 1 species
CUGGGAGGACCAUCUCCUAAGGCUAAAUACUCUCUAGUGACCGAUAGUGAACCAGUACCGUGAGGGAAAGGUGAAAAGCACCCCGGAAGGGGAGUGAAAUAGAACCUGAAACCGUGUGCUUACAAGUAGUCAGAGCCCGUUAAUGGGUGAUGGCGUGCCUUUUGUAGAAUGAACCGGCGAGUUACGAUUUGAUGCAAGGUUAAGCAGUAAAUGUGGAGCCGUAGCGAAAGCGAGUCUGAAUAGGGCGUUUAGUAUUUGGUCGUAGACCCGAAACCAGGUGAUCUACCCUUGGUCAGGUUGAAGUUCAGGUAACACUGAAUGGAGGACCGAACCGACUUACGUUGAAAAGUGAGCGGAUGAACUGAGGGUAGCGGAGAAAUUCCAAUCGAACCUGGAGAUAGCUGGUUCUCUCCGAAAUAGCUUUAGGGCUAGCCUCAAGUGAUGAUUAUUGGAGGUAGAGCACUGUUUGGACGAGGGGCCCCUCUCGGGUUACCGAAUUCAGACAAACUCCGAAUGCCAAUUAAUUUAACUUGGGAGUCAGAACAUGGGUGAUAAGGUCCGUGUUCGAAAGGGAAACAGCCCAGACCACCAGCUAAGGUCCCAAAAUAUAUGUUAAGUGGAAAAGGAUGUGGCGUUGCCCAGACAACUAGGAUGUUGGCUUAGAAGCAGCCAUCAUUUAAAGAGUGCGUAAUAGCUCACUAGUCGAGUGACACUGCGCCGAAAAUGUACCGGGGCUAAACAUAUUACCGAAGCUGUGGAUUGUCCUUUGGACAAUGGUAGGAGAGCGUUCUAAGGGCGUUGAAGCAUGAUCGUAAGGACAUGUGGAGCGCUUAGAAGUGAGAAUGCCGGUGUGAGUAGCGAAAGACGGGUGAGAAUCCCGUCCACCGAUUGACUAAGGUUUCCAGAGGAAGGCUCGUCCGCUCUGGGUUAGUCGGGUCCUAAG